rnacentral:rRNA from 1 species
GACGAACGCUGGCGGCGUGCUUAACACAUGCAAGUCGAACGGAAAGGCCCAGCUUGCUGGGUGCUCGAGUGGCGAACGGGUGAGUAACACGUGGGUGAUCUGCCCCUAGCUUCGGGAUAAGCUUGGGAAACUGGGUCUAAUACCGGAUAGGACAAUCGUUUAGUGUCGGUUGUGGAAAGUUUUUUCGGUUAGGGAUGAGCCCGCGGCCUAUCAGCUUGUUGGUGGGGUAAUGGCCUACCAAGGCGUCGACGGGUAGCCGGCCUGAGAGGGUGGACGGCCACAUUGGGACUGAGAUACGGCCCAGACUCCUACGGGAGGCAGCAGUGGGGAAUAUUGCACAAUGGGCGCAAGCCUGAUGCAGCGACGCCGCGUGGGGGAUGACGGCCUUCGGGUUGUAAACCUCUUUCGACAGGGACGAAGCUUUGGUGACGGUACCUGUAUAAGAAGCACCGGCUAACUACGUG